CAAGGAUUAGUUUAUAUAAAAUUUUAAUUUUGGAGAUUAAAGAUAAAAAUUAUUUUUAUCCUUGA
rnacentral:tRNA from 1 species